UACGUAUGGUGCAAGCGUUAUCCGGAUUUACUGGGUGUAAAGGGAGCGUAGGCGGUCUUGCAAGUCUGAUGUGAAAGCCCGGGGCUCAACCGCGGGAUUGCAUUGGAAACUGUAGGACUUGAGUAUCGGAGAGGUAAGUGGAAUUCCUAGUGUAGCGGUGAAAUGCGUAGAUAUUAGGAGGAACACCAGUGGCGAAGGCGGCUUACUGGACGAUAACUGACGCUGAGGCUCGAAAGCGUGGGGAG
rnacentral:rRNA from 1 species